GGGGUGCCCUUAUAUUUUUUAACUUUGCCCUAUUUGUUAGUCACGCUGUCCAAUUCCUUUCUCCUUUAUAAUCCCUAACGUCAGAAGAGGCAACAGCAGCAGCAGCAGAAAAACAAGAAUUUGAAUGAUGUCGAGUCUUCCUGAAGACAUCAUCAUCAACAUCUUAACAAGGUUACCACUAAAAUCUCUCUUAAGAUUCAGGUGUGUUUGCAAAUCUUGGUCUAAUAAUCUCUUUACAAACCCUAAUUUUAUUAAGCUACAAUUUUAUCAUUCUCUUAAACAUCAUAAUCCUGGUAUCUUAAUUGACCACACCGAUGCCAACAUCUGUUACGCAGAUUAUGAUUCGGUAUCAUCAGCAGUAUCCACUCAGGUUAUUGAGAUAGAUUAUCCGGUGGAAUAUAAAAAAAUUCUGAUUCUAGAUGUGUGUAAUGGGUUGAUAUGCUACAUAACAGAGAUUAAAGAUAUUAUCAUCUGGAACCCGUUACCAAAGUUCACAGGAAAAUACCAGAUCCACCAGAAUCAACAAGUUUAAACACCAAAUAUCCCAUGAUUCAGUAUGGAUUCGGUUAUGAUGUGAAAUCGGAGGAUUAUAAGUUUGCAAGAAUUGUCAAUCAUCAAUCUAGGUACAGUGAAUUGAGUGUUUUUUCAUUUCGAACCAAUGCACGGAAGAUUAUGGUGGACAUCCCUUUUUUAUAUCCAUGGGGGCAACUAGUACUUCUCAAUGGAAUUUUUCAUUGAGUAGAAAGUCCCACUCUCGACAGUGGAUUGCCAAGAGUAAUAGCUUCUUUUGAUCUUGUAAGCGAGACAUUCAAAGAAAUCCAACUACCACAAGAGUUAUUAGACAGGCGUAAAUUUUCUGUGUUAAAUUUGUGGCUUUUUGAAGGUUGCCUCUACCUGACUGGUAGCAUGUAUAUGGUUGGUGUUGAGGUGUGGACGAUGAAAAUGUAUGGCGUUAAAGAGUCUUGGACUAAAUAAUUGAUGGCGAAGCAUUUGGAGGAGUUGGGUAUAUUGACUUGAAAAACUCUCUCGGGAAUGGUGUGAUUCCGGUUCAGCGAGACUAUCUAUAUCCUUACAUAUAUGAUCUCAACAAGGAAGAAGCUAGACAACUUAAAAUCGAUGGCAUUAAGCCACCGUUCUUCACACGGGCUUUCUUAGGGAGCUUAAUAUCACCUACUUUUGGUACUUGUUUGGAGGCACAAUAGGACACAAGAUGCUUAAGAAGGACAAAGAACCAGAGUUUACAGUCAUCCUUAAACAGUAAAGGACUCCAAGUAUUACUGUGAUUGAUAAUGUGGUGGUGGCUGGAAAUUUGGGGAAGUCUAUAUGGUCCCUGGAUGUCAUCCCCGGAGUUCAGGUUGUAUUUUGAAGUUAAUUUAUGAUAUUCUACUGUUUCAUCAAAGGUAAGUGUCUGAAAUGCUGAUGUAUUUCCUAUCUACGUUGUUGUUUUAUUAGAAAUGUUUGGUUUGGUUAGGUUCAAAUUGUACUGAUUGCCCAAAUGUGCCCUGGUCUCAGCUAUGUGCAUCCAUUAGCUGCAUAUAUGGAAAGUUAGAUAUGUCUUUAGACUUUAAGUGUUUCAAUAUUUACCUGCUGUUAUGAUAUAUCACAAGUGCACAACCCUCGUCCGAAUCCUACAGAAAGAAAACCUUAGCUAUAAGCCUAUAACGUGUUUGUGCCUCUCUUACUUCAAUAUUCUCUAAAGCAGGUGUGGAUUUUUUUUCUUGUUGGUGAAGGAGAACAGAAUGACUUUUUUGGAGGAAGGCAUAUCUUUAGGAGCUUUAGCAGCAGCAAUGUGGGCAUCUUUUGAGGUAGAAGACAGCAAACUGACCAAACGAUUCAGAAGGGAGAAUCAUAUACCAGAAUUCCCUACCUACUUGUACAACUGGAAACAAUGUGGACUGGUUGGGAAUGAGCCUCAUUAUCAAACAGUUGUAAAACAUGUUGCUCAGUAGCCAUUAGAUCAUGACUGUGUCAGACUCACAAAUCACAAUAGUGUUACAACUUGAAGGCAUUGUAAAAUCAAAAGUUUGUUGGGCUUUUCUGGUAAAAGUUGGGCCAUCCAACACUAGAAUUUCAAAUUUCUCCCUAUGCACGAACCGUGAUUUAGGGCAUACCAAAAAGUUUCAG